GCGGCGUGAGCGUCGCGCUGGCCGCCGAGACGUUCCCGGACAAGGUCGCCGCCGUGGUGUUCCUCUGCGCCUUCAUGCCCGACUGCGCGGCGCGGCCGUCGCACGUGCUGGAGAAGUUCGUGGAGGGGAAGUGGCUGGAGUGGAUGGACAUAGAGGUGAAACCCCAGGACGGCGAAGGCAAGCUCACCACCUCUAUGCUGUUCGGGCCCCGGAUCAUCCGAGAGAAGUUCACCCAGCUCUGCUCGCCCGAG